rnacentral:rRNA from 1 species
UUCGGACCUUGCGCUAAAUGAUGAGCNUAAGUCGGAUUAGCUAGUUGGUGGGGUAAAGGCCUACCAAGGCGACGAUCUGUAGCGGGUCUGAGAGGAUGAUCCGCCACACUGGGACUGAGACACGGCCCAGACUCCUACGGGAGGCAGCAGUGGGGAAUAUUGGACAAUGGGCGAAAGCCUGAUCCAGCCAUGCCGCGUGUGUGAAGAAGGCCUUUUGGUUGUAAAGCACUUUAAGCGAGGAGGAGGCUACUAGUACUAAUACUACUGGAUAGUGGACGUUACUCGCAGAAUAAGCACCGGCUAACUCUGUGCCAGCAGCCGCGGUAAUACAGAGGGUGCGAGCGUUAAUCGGAUUUACUGGGCGUAAAGCGUGCGUAGGCGGCUUUUUAAGUCGGAUGUGAAAUCCCCGAGCUUAACUUGGGAAUUGCAUUCGAUACUGGGAAGCUAGAGUAUGGGAGAGGAUGGUAGAAUUCCAGGUGUAGCGGUGAAAUGCGUAGAGAUCUGGAGGAAUACCGAUGGCGAAGGCAGCCAUCUGGCCUAAUACUGACGCUGAGGUACGAAAGCAUGGGGAGCAAACAGGAUUAGAUACCCUGGUAGUCCAUGCCGUAAACGAUGACUACUAGCCGUUGGGGCCUUUGAGGCUUUAGUGGCGCAGCUAACGCGAUAAGUAGACCGCCUGGGGAGUACGGUCGCAAGACUAAAACUCAAAUGAAUUGACGGGGGCCCGCACAAGCGGUGGAGCAUGUGGUUUAAUUCGAUGCAACGCGAAGAACCUUACCUGGCCUUGACAUACUAGAAAC